rnacentral:rRNA from 1 species
GACGAACGCUGGCGGCGUGCUUAACACAUGCAAGUCGAACGGAAAGGCCCUGCUUUUGUGGGGUGCUCGAGUGGCGAACGGGUGAGUAACACGUGAGUAACCUGCCCUUGACUUUGGGAUAACUUCAGGAAACUGGGGCUAAUACCGGAUAGGAGCUCCUGCUGCAUGGUGGGGGUUGGAAAGUUUCGGCGGUUGGGGAUGGACUCGCGGCUUAUCAGCUUGUUGGUGGGGUAGUGGCUUACCAAGGCUUUGACGGGUAGCCGGCCUGAGAGGGUGACCGGCCACAUUGGGACUGGGAUACGGCCCAGACUCCUACGGGAGGCAGCAGUGGGGAAUAUUGCACAAUGGGCGGAAGCCUGAUGCAGCAACGCCGCGUGCGGGAUGACGGCCUUCGGGUUGUAAACCGCUUUCGCCUGUGACGAAGCGUGAGUAACGGUAAUGGGUAAAGAAGCACCGGCUAACUACGUGCCAGCAGCCGCGGUGAUACGUAGGGUGCGAGCGUUGUCCGGAUUUAUUGGGCGUAAAGGGCUCGUAGGUGGUUGAUCGCGUCGGAAGUGUAAUCUUGGGGCUUAACCCUGAGCGUGCUUUCGAUACGGGUUGACUUGAGGAAGGUAGGGGAGAAUGGAAUUCCUGGUGGAGCGGUGGAAUGCGCAGAUAUCAGGAGGAACACCAGUGGCGAAGGCGGUUCUCUGGGCCUUUCCUGACGCUGAGGAGCGAAAGCGUGGGGAGCGAACAGGCUUAGAUACCCUGGUAGUCCACGCUGUAAACGGUGGGUACUAGGUGUGGGGUCCAUUCCACGGGUUCCGUGCCGUAGCUAACGCUUUAAGUACCCCGCCUGGGGAGUACGGCCGCAAGGCUAAAACUCAAAGGAAUUGACGGGGCCCCGCACAAGCGGCGGAGCAUGCGGAUUAAUUCGAUGCAACGCGUAGAACCUUACCUGGGUUUGACAUGGAUCGGGAGUGCUCAGAGAUGGGUGUGCCUCUUUUGGGGUCGGUUCACAGGUGGUGCUUGGCUGUCGUCAGCUCGUGUCGUGAGAUGUUGGGUUAAGUCCCGCAACGAGCGCAACCCUUGUUCACUGUUGCCAGCACGUUAUGGUGGGGACUCAGUGGAGACCGCCGGGGUCAACUCGGAGGAAGGUGGGGAUGACGUCAAGUCAUCAUGCCCCUUAUGUCCAGGGCUUCACGCAUGCUACAAUGGCUGGUACAGAGAGUGGCGAGCCUGUGAGGGUGAGCGAAUCUCGGAAAGCCGGUCUCAGUUCGGAUUGGGGUCUGCAACUCGACCUCAUGAAGUCGGAGUCGCUAGUAAUCGCAGAUCAGCAACGCUGCGGUGAAUACGUUCCCGGGGCU